CUACUUGUAAAGGACAUGACCUAUGAUCAUGUAGGCACAAGACAGAUCUCCACUUUAAUGAGGUGACACUCUGAGAUGAAUUCCAUCAUCAUCUUUUCAUCUCAUUAUUUUCAACAUGGGACUUUGAAACAAUUAUGUAUUAUUAAUAAUCCACUGUUGGAACACUAUCCAUGGAUGGAGUCAUGUGAGAAUAUUUCUGUGUGCCCAUGAGAAAACGCCAAGAAACUUAGACAAGAGAAUCAUGAACUCAGUUAUAAAAAACAUGGAAUUGCUCUUGGAAUUUCUUGGAAUGUCCUUUUGCUGCCCUACUAGGGGUAGCUGGUAGGGAUGAUAUGGCUAUGACUGUAAUGUGAGCAUUUCAUCAAACUUCUAUCUGAACAUCAGGUUCCUCAGACUCCUAUCCAGUAGACCACAGGAAUAUUGUCACCAUAUUGCCAAAAUCUUUUCUAGAUUUGAUUAGAUUUUUUCCUA